rnacentral:tRNA from 3 species
GCGGGCGUAACUCAACGGUAGAGUGUCAGCUUCCCAAGCUGAAGGUCGCGGGUUCAAAUCCCGUCGCCCGCUCCA